ensembl:lncRNA
GAUAGGACUGUCUGGGGCGUAGCUCUUAGUAUGGACUCUCCCACUGGAACAAAAUGAAGGCUUCUUCAUUAAAGCUGGAAAAUUACUUUGGACUUGGAGCUACGUAUUGAAAACAGAUUUCUCCCCUUCACUUUGUAGAUCAGCCUUACCUGGGACAAAAAGACCUUUGCUUCUGCUUGGUUCUACUGAUCAGUUCUCACCCAACUUCUGGCACAGGAAGCAGGCUACAAAACCUGAGCGAUGUGUUGCUGUCUAACACCUGGAGAAAGAUCAAGACCCACUGGGACCCCAGUGGGAGAGCAGCAGCUGGUGCCACGUGUUGGCUUUUCCUUGGAUCUCAAACUGUUCCUGGCAAGCCUCUUUCCUCUUGGACAGCAAGUGUUUUGGUAAAACCAGUUUAUAGCAUGAAGGAGUGUCUGAGAUAAAUUUGUUACUGCGAGCAGCAUUCCCAGCACUGCUGCAAAUUUCCUCCCAAAACUCCUCAUGCUUACCUUUUCACAGCAACUUACUGUGAAUGAUCCUUAUAACAAGUAGUCAUCCUUCCUAUGAAAAGCUUUGCGGGCAUGAUACUAGCCAUAUUGUACUGGAAAAGCUGAGUAUUAGCUGGGAUCAAUGUGUUUUUCUACUGAGGCUGGCAAAACUAUUUGCUUUUUCCUUUCUUUGCAAGCUAUCUUCUUGAAUCUGAUGACUGCAGACCGGAGAAGUGGCUGAGACUUUUAAAAGGACUGGCAAGAGUUUAAAGGCCACCUUCAUUGAUGUGUGUGGGAGGCAGGAACUUCUUGCAUAACAUUUCACCGCAGUUUUUUCUCCCUCCCUCUGGAAGUGACCAUCUUGUAAUGUCAAUGUGUGCAUGCAGCAUGCAUGCAGAGGGGAGAAAACACCAUACGCAUGUAAAGUUAUCUCUUAGCCCUAUUUCACCCCCAUCCAUGCACUGACUAUUUCUCUUACCUGUUGUAUUUUUCUCUUCUCAGCUCCAAAUGGUGGGAGCGUUUACUCUGCAGCUGCUAGUACAGAUAAGAAGGAAGCACAUUUUCUUGAUCGGCAAGCCUCCAGCCAGACCCAGACUUCCAUGGGACAUGGAAAGAGCUUUAGCCUUCACAUGCUGGUCUGAAGCCCCUCUUGCAGCUCAUUGCAAGGCUGCUCUGAGCUACCAGAGUGUGGAAUUUUUUACAAUGAACAUAGUCUCAUGAGUGCCUCACCCCCAGAUGAUGUAGCCACGGCUGUGGGUGCUAGGAAUGUCUAUCUCUAUUAGAAUUAAGGCUACAGUGCAGGAACAAAGCAAGAGGCUGUUUCGUACCUGCGUGCCCUCAGUACACUGAUAUGUACUGGUAUCACGUAGAUGUUUGAUCUGCUGCUCAUAUUUUAAGGUGUGGCUUGGGCAGGUUCUACUUGACUGGGACACGAACAGGCUUACUGCUAAAUGUGCCCGUUGAGAUGUAGCUAUUAACCCAAGCUUUUGGGUAAGUUUCACAUUGUGGGGGUUUUUCAGGUACUUCUAGGAGUCUGAUAUAGAGAGAAGACAGAUCUUAGCAGGCUGUAAACGUAUAUACUUUAUUUUGAUAUUCUGUAUUUAUUUAGCCAUUUAGAUAUCCGUUAUCCAGCAUAAGCAAGAGAUCAAGGAAAUGCCCAGUGGCCUUUCAGCAAAGCAUCAUUCCAGAGUUCUUCUGAG